CGCAGCUGCUUUUAGCACUUGGCUCUCGCGGAUCGAGCUUCCCCUUCUGCCACUACACCCCACCCUCUUCCUGGAGGAAAGCCGUUCAUGGUUCUUUAGUUCUCAUCCUGCAUGCUGUGAAAACAGCUGUAAAUUUCUAUCUGUCACAUGGGUCUAGUUCAUGGCUGGUAGAUGUACCUGAUGGGCCAUAGAAGUGACUGGCUCAGCUCCUGUUGGGCUCAGGAAAGAGAGUCUACCUGAGAGAAUCAGUUGUGUGCCCCACCCUGAAAGUACCCUCGGUGCCAUCAAAAGUACUGGUGAUGCAACAUUCCUUAAGCAAGGCUCCACCAUUUUUUUCCUGAGAUUUUCUUCUAAGUUUCUGACAUCCAUUCUGCAGGUUUUGAUGCCUGUGCUUUCUUCAUCUUACCAAAAGCUGUCAAUGGAAGAUUUCAGGCAACAGGUGUUAAACCCCAAUAAACGUCGUGAAUCCCAACUUGGUCUCCACAUUUGUGGAGAACCCAACCUGUGACAAAUGGGAAGCCACUGAAGGAUUUUAAGCAAAGAAUUCAA
ensembl:lncRNA